AGCUCCAAUAGCGUAUAUUAAAGUUGUUGCGGUUAAAAAGCUCGUAGUUGGAUUUCUGUUGAGGGUGGCCAGUCCGCACUUUGUGCGUGUAUUUGGUUCAGCCUCGGCAUCCUCCUGGGGAGCGUUUCUGUACUUGAUUGUAUGGGACGUAAUUCAGGACUUUUACUUUGAGGAAAUUAGAGUGUUCACGGCAGGCGUUCGCCUUGAAUAUGUUAGCAUGGAAUAAUAAUAUAAGACCUCGGUUUUAUUUUGUUGGUUUCUAGAAGCGGGGUAAUGAUUAAUAGGGACAAUUGGGGGUAUUCGAAUUAACGCGUCAGAGGUGGAAUUCUUGGAUUGCGUUACGACGAACUACUGCGAAAGCAUUUACCAAGGAUGUUUUCA
rnacentral:rRNA from 1 species